UUCUGUAUAUAUACUUUCUCACCCAGUAGGCAGAAGCCACACUGUUUCUUGAAAGAUUAAUAUAAGAAUUUCUAACUAAUAAAAGGUGGUUGACCACUAAAAGGGAAGUGGCGAAGAAGACUCUCACAGGUCCUUGCUGUAACUUGAGAAAAUGUAUACUACCUCCAAGAGCUAAGGGGCAGCAGGCAAGAAAUGAGCUUAGAAACAUAGCUAAGCACCUGUGCUGUGCUGAAUCGGACCUCAGGUGCUGGCACAGGAAUCCUCAGUCCACUUAGCUGAGCAACUUAAGAUGGUGGACUGUUGCUAACACAGACGGCCAGGGCUGUGCUGGCAGAGCCUGAGAGUGUAAGUUACUAUGAACUGCCCUUAAACCAUUCGGCUAAAGAGACUGCUCAUCAGAAGAAAAGCUGUCAUCUUUCUCCUCGCAGUAGCCCUCCAUCGUCCUCUGUUGUCAAAGCCCGAAUCAAUCCUACUUCAGAGCUGCGAUCUGCAGCUUAAGGUACAAGUAACUGACCUUCCUCGUGUUGAGAGCUCAUGCUCUCAGGCUCUGCUACCACAGCCAUGGCCCUCCAGGUCAUUCCAUAUAUCCAUGCAGAUGUGUGUUUUUAAGAUGCAUUUCUGAUUGUACACAUGGGGGCAGGUGUGUGCAUCUGUGCGUGCAGGCGCUCAUGGAGAUCAUCUGUAGCAGUGGCUCUCAACUUCCUCACGCUGUGACCCUUUACUACAGUUCCUCAUGUGCUAACCCCCAACCACAAAGUUAUGUUUGUUGCUACUUCAUACUUAUAAUUUUGCUAUGAAUUGUAAUGCAAAUAUCUGUGUUCUGGUAGUUUUAAGUGACCCCUGUGAAACUUUGAGGCUCGUUGGACCUCAGAGGGGGUCAAGACCCACUGGCUGAGAACUGCUGCUCUAGAGCUGAUAGGUGGUUGCAAGCCACUCAUCAUGGGCUCUGACUGCUGAGCCAUCUCUGCAGGCCUAGUUUUAUAUUUUUGUUUUUCUUUUUCUUUUUGAGACAAGAUUUCUCUGUGUAGCCCUGGCUAUCCCAGAACUUGCUUUGUAGACUAGUCUGUCUUUAAACUCAAGAGAUCUGUCAGCGUCUGUCUCCCAAGUUCUGGGAUUAAAAGUGUAUGCUAUCAUGCCUGGCUAUAUUGAAGUUUUGUUUCUGGUUUUUUGUUUUUCCCAUGAAGACUUGAAUACUUUUAAGAUGUCAGCCUAAUUUUCUUGUUUUUCUUCUUGCUGAUACCCCCCUACGUGUCAUAAGUGUGAGCUUUAAGGCUCUGCAGGGUUCCAGGUUCAAGACCAGUUUUGUAGUUUGGGUGUAUUAUUAUACCAGCUUGACUAUGUAUACUGUCAGGCCCUACACUCCAAUAGCAGAGAGUUGCUGUUCUCUAUGCUACUGCUAAGUGGUCCUUGUCCUUACGUGAUACCCGUCCUCAGGUGUAUGCUAACAAUUUGGUCUCCAUGCUGUAACCUCCUUUAACUCCUGUACGCUGCUCUAGGCUUUGUCUUUAUAUCAGCACUAGAAACUUCACCUGGGAUACUUUUACAUUGACCAUGUUCGUUGUUUAACUAGGUGUAAUUGCUUGAAUGAGAAUGUUCCGCAUAGCCUUAGCUAUUUAAAGGCUUGGUCACCACUUGGUGGCCUUGUUAAAGGAAGUGCUUCCCUGGGAUCCAGAUUUGAAAGCUUAAGGCCUCACCCUACUUGUCAUUCGUGGUUUGUGCUUUCAGCAUAAGAUGUGAACUCUUAGCCUCCUGUUCCUGCCACCAUACCUGCUCCCUGCAGCCAUGCUGCACCCUGUCAUUGUGGAACUCUCUAGAACCAUUUGGUAAAGUGAAUUCUGAAAGGUGCUUUGGCUGUGAUGUUGUGUUUCAGCAACAGAGGGGUAAUAUAUGCAUUCUUUAUGUGUUUUGGGGAGUGGCAGGUUUUCCCAUCUGCCACCAUCAAUUCUAGGGUGGCUAAUAAUUAUGUGAUACAGCCCUUUCUCUUUGUGGCUCCACUUUCAUGAUACUCGUCUAUGCAGGGAAAAACUACAGUGUCAUCAUUAGGUGAGGUGGGUGUCAACUGCCAAAUUUUAUUGUGAGAUUUUAAGAUAGAAAUGUCAGGCUGAGGAAUUGUUUGCUCAGUCAAAAAGUAUGUGUCUUGCAAAUACUUUUGAGUUUGAGUCCCAGAACUUAAAUAUAAAAAGUAGGUAUGGUGAUGGUGCAUCUUGUAUUCCCCAGACUGGGGAAGCUGGAGAUUUGGAUGCCUAGGAUUCACUGGCCAGCCAGUCUAGCUAUUUGACAAGUUCCUGGCCAGUGAGAGGUCCUAGCACAAAGAAAAAAAGGGAAGGGGAUCCUUCAGUCUCUUUCUCUCUCCACACACAAAUAGAAAUAUACACACAAGUAGAAAUAUUUACAAAACUUUUAUUAUGCAUCAAGUAGUCUGUGGUUCAAUUGGGAUAUAGUCUAAAACAUUUAUCAAAGUAGUGUAGUUGCUUAGUAUGUAACCAAGUACAGAGCUUGUAAACAUUAAAAAACUAAUGUUACAACACUAAGAAUUGUUUUUUGUUUUUGUUUUUGUUUUGGAAACAGGGUUUCUCUAUGUAGCCUGUCCCAGAAGUUCCUCUGUAGACCAGGCUGGCCUCGGACUCAGAGAUCCACCUGCCUACACUGAGAAUUGUUAAAAUGGACGGUGCUACACAGGAAGAGACCAUUCCAGUAUGGACUGGCCAUUGGAAAGGACGGCACAGUAUCUGGACUGUUCUGUGUCCUCAGGAUGCUGCGGAAUGAACACACAUCUGCGCAAGAAUACAGUAGCAGAAACCACAUCUCACACUUGAUAGGGGAGUUGGAACUAUGAAUAUUACAGUCUAUAAUAAAUAACACAUAACCU
rnacentral:lncRNA from 1 species